UUGCUACUCCCUCCGUCCGAAAAUACUUGUCAUCAAAAUAGAUAAAAAGAGAUGUAUCUAAAACCAAAAUAUGUCUAGAUACAUUUCCUUUUAUCCAUUUUGAUGUCAAGUAUUUCCGGACGGAGGGAGUAUUUG
rfam:Triticum aestivum genome assembly, contig: Triticum_aestivum_CS42_TGACv1_scaffold_626917_7DS